UGGUUGAUCCUGCCAGAGGCUACUGCUAUCGGGGUCCGACUAAGCCAUGCGAGUUGAGAGGGGUAAGCCCUCGGCAUAUUGCUCAGUAACACGCGGAUAACCUGCCCUUGGGUUCGGGAUAACCCCGGGAAAACUGGGACUAAUACAGGAUAGAUCAAAGAGACUGGAAUGUUCUCUGGUUAAAAACUCCGGUGCCCAAGGAUGGGUCUGCGGCCUAUCAGGUAGUAGUGGGUGUAACGUACCUACUAGCCUACGACGGGUAAGGGUUGUGAGAGCAAGAGCCCUGAGAUGGAUUCUGAGACAUGAAUCCAGGCCCUACGGGGUGCAGCAGGCGCGAAAACUUUACACUGCGGGAAACCGCGAUAAGGGGACCCCGAGUGCCAGCACCUAGUGCUGGCUGUCCAGCUGUCCAAAUAACAGUUGUUAGCAAGGGCCGGGCAAGACCGGUGCCAGCCGCCGCGGUAACACCGGCGGCCCGAGUGGUAGCCGUUAUUAUUGGGUUUAAAGGGUCCGUAGCCGGCCUAUUAAGUCUCUUGGGAAAUCUGGCGACUCAAUCGUCAGUCGUCCAAGAGAUACUGGUAGGCUUGGGACCGGGAGAGGUGGGAGGUACUCCAGGGGUAGGGGUGAAAUCUCGUAAUCCUUGGGGGACCACCGAUGGCGAAGGCAUCCCACCAGAACGGGUCCGACGGUGAGGGACGAAAGCUGGGGGCACGAACCGGAUUAGAUACCCGGGUAGUCCCAGCCGUAAACGAUGCUCGCUAGGUGUCAGGUGCGGUGCGACCGCAUCUGGUGCCGCAGUGAAAACUUGAAGCGAGUCACCUGGGAAGUACGGUCGCAAGGCUGAAACUUAAAGGAAUUGGCGGGGGAGCAC
rnacentral:rRNA from 1 species